rnacentral:rRNA from 1 species
AUUGAACGCUGGCGGCAGGCCUAACACAUGCAAGUCGAACGAGUGGCGGACGGGUGAGUAAUGUCUGGGAAACUGCCUGAUGGAGGGGGAUAACUACUGGAAACGGUAGCUAAUACCGCAUACAAUCGGAUGUGCCAAGAUGGGAUUGGCUAGUAGGGGGGGAAAGGGCUCACCUAGGCGACGUGCCCUAGCUGGUCUGAGGGGAUGACCCGCCAAACUGGAAUGGAGACACGGUCCAACCCCCGACGGGAGGCAGAAGUGGGGAAUAUUGCACAAUGGGCGAAAGCUGGAUGCAGCCAUGCCGCGGGUAUGAAGAGGCCUUCGGGUUGUAAAGUACUUUCAGCGGGGAGGCGUUACCCGCAGAAGAAGCACCGGCUAACUCCGUGCCAGCAGCCGCGGUAAUAC